AGUGAACGCUGGCGGUAGGCCUAACACAUGCAAGUCGAACGGCAGCACAGUAAGAGCUUGCUCUUACGGGUGGCGAGUGGCGGACGGGUGAGGAAUACAUCGGAAUCUACUUUUUCGUGGGGGAUAACGUAGGGAAACUUACGCUAAUACCGCAUACGACCUACGGGUGAAAGCAGGGGAUCUUCGGACCUUGCGCGAUUGAAUGAGCCGAUGUCGGAUUAGCUAGUUGGCGGGGUAAAGGCCCACCGAGGCGACGAUCCGUAGCUGGUCUGAGAGGAUGAUCAGCCACACUGGAACUGAGACACGGUCCAGACUCCUACGGGAGGCAGCAGUGGGGAAUAUUGGACAAUGGGCGCAAGCCUGAUCCAGCCAUACCGCGUGGGUGAAGAAGACCUUCGGGUUGUAAAGCCCUUUGGUUGGGAAAGAAAAGCAGCAGGUUAAUACCCCGCUGUUCUGACGGUACCCAAAGAAUAAGCACCGGCUAACUUCGUG
rnacentral:rRNA from 1 species